rnacentral:rRNA from 1 species
CACGGGGGGCUGCAGUGGGGGAUAUUGCACAAUGGGGGAAACCCUGAUGCAGCGACGCCGCGUGAGUGAAGAAGUAAUUCGUUAUGUAAAGCUCUAUCAGCAGGGAAGAAAAUGCCGGUACCUGAGUAAGAAGCCCCGGCUAACUACGUGCCAGCAGCCGCGGUAAUACGUAGGGGGCAAGCGUUAUCCGGAUUUACUGGGUGGAAAGGGAGCGUAGACGGCAGUGCAAGUCUGGAGUGAAAGGCGGGGGCUCAACCCCCGGACUGCUCUGGAAACUGUACGGCUGGAGUGCAGGAGAGGUAAGUGGAAUUCCUAGUGUAGCGGUGAAAUGCGUAGAUAUUAGGAGGAACACCAGUGGCGAAGGCGGUUGACUGGACUGUAACUGACGUUGAGGCUCGAAGGCGUGGGGAGCGAACAGGAUUAGAUACCCUUGUAGUC